rnacentral:rRNA from 1 species
AACGAACGCUGGCGGCAUGCCUAACACAUGCAAGUCGAACGAGACCUUCGGGUCUAGUGGCGCACGGGUGCGUAACGCGUGGGAACCUGCCCUUAGGUUCGGAAUAACUCCCCGAAAGGGGUGCUAAUACCGGAUAAUGUCUUCGGAUCAAAGAUUUAUCGCCCUUGUAGGGGCCCGCGUUGGAUUAGCUGGUUGGUAGGGUAAAAGCCUACCAAGGCGACGAUCCAUAGCUGGGCUGAGAGGAUGAUUAGCCACACUGGCACUGAGACACGGCACAGACUCUUACGGGAGGCAGCAGUGGGGAAUAUAGGACAAUGGGCGAAAGCCUGAACCAGCAAGGCCGGGUGAGUGAUGAAGGCCGUAGGGUUGUAAAGCUCUUUUACCCGGGAUGAUAAUGACAGUACCGGGAGAAUAAGCUCCGGCUAACUCCGUG